rnacentral:lncRNA from 1 species
AUAUGGAGGGCUGACUACGGGACCUGAGCAUCAGUGGAAAAUGGUGGCCGCUGGCGGUCCUGGAAGCAAUAGCUGGCGGAUACCAAGGAUGGCCGUAUUCGUGUGAUUGCUAUUCCCCGCUUACUACUGGCUGCUGGAUAUGGAGGGCUGGGCCGAGAGAGAGUCCCCAGACCCUUCCGCGAGCCGCCAGGGGAGCCCUGACGGUGCCGGGAGCCGAGGUCUCAGGAGAUCGAGCGCAGCCUCCGCUGAAGCGCACAGCCUCCUGGACAGCACUUGCGACAUGGAGCCUCCGCCCCAGAGCAGCCGCGAUGCCGCUGCCGAUGCGGCUGCCGGCUCCCUCAGCCCGGGGGUCGACGAGGAGCGGGAAGAGGCGCACGAAGCGCAGCCCGCGGAGAGCUCGGCUCCCGGAGAGGGGGGAGAGGAGCAGCCGGCGCAGUGCGACCCUGAGCAAGGAGCGGCCGCGGAAGGGAAGGAGGCAGGAGACGAAGGAGAAGGAAAGGAAGGCGGCGAUGCUGGGGGCGGCACAUUAAAUUUUUUUCUGUCAGCACA